rnacentral:pre_miRNA from 1 species
UGCCUCUAAUUUUCCAAUAAGGUAUCCUUUUGGACUGAAACUUUCCAUGCUUGGUUUCAACUCAAAGGUGAGUUUAUUUUGGAAAGUUCAUAC